GAUGAACGCUGGCGGCGUGCUUAACACAUGCAAGUCGAGCGAGUGAGUUCUUCGGAACGAUCUAGCGGCGGACGGGUGAGUAACACGUGGGCAACCUGCCUCAUAGAGGGGAAUAGCCUCCCGAAAGGGAGAUUAAUACCGCAUAAAAUUAUCGAGUGGCAUCACACGGUAAUCAAAGGAGUAAUCCGCUAUGAGAUGGGCCCGCGGCGCAUUAGCUAGUUGGUGAGGUAACGGCUCACCAAGGCGACGGUGCGUAGCCGACCUGAGAGGGUGCUCGGCCACAUUGGGACUGAGACACGGCCCAGACUCCUACGGGAGGCAGCAGUGGGGAAUAUUGCACAAUGGGGGAAACCCUGAUGCAGCAACGCCGCGUGAGUGAUGAAGGUCUUCGGAUUGUAAAGCUCUGUCUUUGGGGACGAUAAUGACGGUACCCAAGGAGGAAGCCACGGCUAACUACGUGCCAGCCGCCGCGGUAA
rnacentral:rRNA from 1 species